UCAAGGGUCUGCAAUAAAAUUAAUUAUCCAAAAAAUAAUCAAUACCACAUUAAUGAAUUUUGAUGUGUUUUAUGUUGCUUGGACCUUUGCUUCUAACAUGCUGAAAGUACCAUACAGAUCAGUGAUAAUGUGCUAUCUCAACAAUAAUUUUCAUAAAUUAACAGAAAGGUGCUUAUAGUUUAGCUAACAGGAAACAGGGGGAGGUUAUGAAAAAAGAAAUGGCUAUAAAAGGGUAUAAAAACACUUGCCAUUAUUCAGUUUCACUGCAUAAGUUUUAAUGUGCUGAAAAAGUAAUAUAAAGUCCAGAGAUGAGAGAUGUGAAAUGUAGCACAAUCUAGACCUUAAAGAAAGUACUUAGAGAAAAAACUACUGUAUAGCCAAAGAAAAUAUUUUUCUGAUCACUUUUUCUUCCUAAUUUGUUUAUUAACCUAGCCUACAAACUGUGUAAGCUUCAAACUUUAAAGCAUCUAUAUAAUUAAUACUUCAUGUUCCAAUAUCUGAUUAUCCUUUAAUUUAUAUUACAUCACUGAAAGUGUGCAUUAAAGUAACAGUAGUAUAAAGUUUUUAUACUAUCUUAAUUGUACUUGCAACAUUUUUUGGUUAAAUGUUUCAGCUUCACUGUGCCAAAUUAAAGCACUCAUGUAAAUCAACAGUAACUUCUGACACAUCUCAGGUCUCCUCAGCUCUACAAGAUACACUCCCCAACAAGAGAAAACACCUUUCUGCUUUAAGAUCACUACUGCAAUGACAUUCUGCCUUUCAAGGAAAAAUACCUAUCCAUUCUAUUACAUAGAACUUUCAUCUACAAAACUGUAAUUGCAACUAAACAAGCCUUCACUUUUUGUUCAGACAGCAAGUCAUUCCCACAAAGUGCCACAGUACUACACGUGGCAUUGGAAGGCUAAGCAAUUAAAUUCUAGUUCAGGUUUCCACUCAUAUUCACAACAGGAUGGCCAGAUACUAAAUGUCCAGUAAGAAAUUCAGGAAUAGCCAGGAUAAAGGCAUUUCCUGGUGAAAGAUGGAAGCCAGAUUAAGUUUCAGCUGGCCCCUUCUACUGCUUAUCUAGCAGUACUUUAUUUAAAAUUUAUCACCCAUGACCUUAAGAGCCAAUAGUACAGCUGAAAAAAAUGGAUCAAGAAAUACAUUUGAUUAUUGGAGUACACAAAAUAUUAUCAGUUUAUCUCGCACACCUCUGUUACUCAUAAAAUUUAUUAUGUAAAAAUUUUCUUAACCAUUUUUCUUUUCUUACCUCUCAAAUUACUUACUCUCAGGAGAAUUCUAUGCAAUCAGUUGUUGAUUCUUAACCAAAAGCAACAAAUCUAAUUGACUGCAAUGCUUAAGAGUUUUUAAAGGCUCCUUGAAUUUUGAUACUUGCAAUAUAAUGCAAUAAAGUUAUGUUUCAUUUUAGAUGA